rnacentral:lncRNA from 1 species
GAAUUUUUUUUUUUACUGUUUUGGGUUAAAUCUGCUGCUUUUCUAGGUAUGUAUGUGUGUGUUUAGUUUUAUACUUAAUUCAUUGUUGGCCUUCUCUUCUUCCUUCUUUUCCUGAGAUAAAAGUUGAAAGAUAAAUAUUCUUCAGUGGAUGAUUAGGAGAAGGAAGAAUUAUAGAAGAAUUAAAGAAGAAAUAUACAGUCUGCCAUAAAGAUAAGAUUAACAAUGGUAAAAGAGAAUGGUGACCAGGAAGGAGUCAGAGAGCCAAUAAGGUCUUGUGUCUCCUCCCAUACACCCAAGAAUGUGCAUCCAUUUGGUCCUCUCAGGAAACCAGAUGAAUUGAGGAACUGCAGAAAGACCAAAGAGAACCACCAGAUGGAGAUUCUGUUGGAAGCAUAGACAUAGAAGAAAAGGAGCCAGACGGAAAUAUGAAAGGGAAGGAGGAUUGGCACAGAUCCAUGAUAUGGAAUUGAGAUGAUGUAAGUCACUAGGGAAAUGAGGUCCCUCACUGACCAGAGAUUCGACUCAUUAAUAUUUUCAAAUACUUUCCCCUUAAGGGUGUGGGCAGGAUAGCAUAAUGCUGGAGAAUUGCUAUAUAUCUCUAAGGAAUCUGAGGCCUUAGGAGGGGUUUCAUUACUUCCUAGAAGGGCUAGAUUAUUUCCUUUUUCUGUGGGACCCUAUGUAGAGAUGUUGGGCAGUACUUUAAGUCAAAUGGAGUAUUUAGAUCCCAGGGGAAAGUGGAAGCCCACUGGAAAGAGGGAGGAAGCUAUUUUUGUUGUUUCUAUAAGUCCUUUGUAUUUUUGGUUAGGAUAAAUAUAGUUGUGACUUUUAAAGAAAAAUUGUUAGCUUGAGAUU